GCUGCCUUCGGCAGCACAUACACUAAAAUCGGGAUGGCACAGAGUAAUAUUAGCAUGUCCCCUGCACAAGGAGGACGCACAAACACGUGGGGCCUUCCCUGGUUUU